AUUGAACGCUGGCGGCAUGCCUUACACAUGCAAGUCGAACGGUAACAGGUCUUCGGAUGCUGACGAGUGGCGAACGGGUGAGUAAUGCAUCGGAACGUGCCCAGUUGUGGGGGAUAACUGCUCGAAAGAGCAGCUAAUACCGCAUACGACCUGAGGGUGAAAGCGGGGGAUCGCAAGACCUCGCGCAAUUGGAGCGGCCGAUGUCAGAUUAGGUAGUUGGUGGGGUAAAGGCCUACCAAGCCGACGAUCUGUAGUUGGUCUGAGAGGACGACCAGCCACACUGGGACUGAGACACGGCCCAGACUCCUACGGGAGGCAGCAGUGGGGAAUUUUGGACAAUGGGCGCAAGCCUGAUCCAGCAAUGCCGCGUGCAGGAAGAAGGCCUUCGGGUUGUAAACUGCUUUUGUCAGGGAAGAAAUCCUCUGGGUUAAUACCCCGGGGGGAUGACGGUACCUGAAGAAUAGGCACCGGCUAACUACGUGCCAGCCGCCGCAGUAAAAC
rnacentral:rRNA from 1 species